UUUGUCACCUGUUUGCCUGCGAGCCCUCUGAGCUGGAGAGCCUGCUUCCCUUACCUGAGGAGAUCCACUGGUCGCCCGGCGACAGUAAACUACAUGACAUGAGUGCUGAGGAGGUAGCCACUCAGCUGGUGGUGUUUGACUGGGAGCUCUUCAGCUGCAUGCAUGAGGUGGAGUUUGUGUGCUACGUGUUCCACGGCGAGCAAGCUCGCUGGCGCCCCCUCAACCUUGAGCUGGUACCUCAGCGAUGCA